rnacentral:rRNA from 1 species
AUACGGAGGAUGCGAGCGUUAUCCGGAUUUAUUAGGUUUAAAGGGUGUGUAGGCGGUAUUUUAAGUCAGUGGUGGAAUCUCGGAGCUUAACUUCGAAACUGCCAUUGAUACUGGAAUACUUGAGUAUAGUUGAGGUAGGCGGAAUAUGUAAUGUAGCGGUGAAAUGCAUAGAUAUUACAUAGAACACCGAUUGCGAAGGCAGCUUACUAAACUAUUACUGACGCUGAUGCACGAAAGCGUGGGGAGCUAACAGGAUUAGAAACCCCUAGUAGUCC